CGGGCUUCUCCCGAUGCCAUGCCGAUGGAAAGUCCUCUCUGUUGCUUCCUUCCACCGAGAGGAGAGGAGUUCAAAUUUUCGCCCUGAUCAAUCGAGUGCGAGAACGAAUGGAAAUGAAGUGGACAGAGUAGAGAGGUGAAACCUUCGAUUUCAUACGAAUCAAUCGAAAUUUCGUGACGUAAUGUAAUAUAAAUUUGGUAAUGUAAUGGAAUGAGGAGAGUGGAUGAAGGAGAGAGAAGGUGAGACGACUUUUUUUCAGAUAGUUAUAUUGGAAUUUUAAGCGAAACCUACGGAUUGAAUUUAAAAUCAAAUCGAGUGGGGGAAAUGGAUGAAAUGGAAAAGAUAAGGAAGAUGAGAUGUUUUGUUUUUAGAAUGUUAAAAUAUAAAGAAAUAAUUUUAGGAAAUUUUAUGCAAAACGAAGUAUAAUACAAAAUGAUCUUCUCGUUUAACCUUAAACGAGUUCUCGAAAUAGAAGCUUGAUUAAAAAAGAAAAAAAUGAAGCACGAAUUGGAAUCUGAAAAAUACAUACGUUUGAUUAUCUAUUGGUUGAACUGCAAGCUUCGAGCAUCUGGUUUCCAGUGUUUCAUUAGCAACCCUUCAAGUGUACAGAAAGGGUGCGUAUCAAAGAAUCUGGGGUGAAUGAUUGGAGGGUUAAAAGCAUCGAAGCUUGAACUGUAUGGAUGUUUCUAAAAACUACUAUUCGCUAAAAAAAAAAAAAUACAUUCUUCGAACAAGGAAAAUAAUUGGUUCUAAAUAUUAACAUCUAUUCUUCAUUCUGAAAAUUGUAAAUCUUGUUAUAUAAAUUUAACAAAUAUUUCAAUUUCAUUAUAUUUAUAAAUAUUUUUCGAAUUUUUCAAAGAGAAAUUAAUCCAUAUUUUUUGGAUACAAUUGAAAUAGGAAAUAGCAGAAAAUGUGUAAAAGUUAAAUCAAUGCAACGUGAAGAUAUUGGUAAAAUAUAUUUUUAUAUAUA